rnacentral:ncRNA from 2 species
UAAUAUGUUGUGUCCGUCGGUGCCGAUCGCGAGAUCGGCUUAAUAGGGAAGCCGGUGCGGACCCGUCCUUCUGGACGGCGACAAAGCCGGCGCUGCCCCGCAGCGGUAUGGGAAACGAACGUGGUCAUUGCACUGGGCGCCCGGCGCCUGGGAAGCGGCCACCAGUAGGAGGAGCCGAGGAGCGAGUAGAGAGGAGUGAGACGCGGGCCGAGGCCUGCCGACCACCGCUCUUAACUCGCCCCUCGCUCCAAGUCCCGAGCCCGAAGACCUGCCGACAGCCGCGCGUCGCA